rnacentral:misc_RNA from 1 species
GAUGAAGAACGUAGCAAAAUGCGAUAAGUAAUGUGAAUUGCAGAUUUCAGUGAAUCAUCGAAUCUUUGAACGCACAUUGCGCCCGCCAGUAUUCUGGCGGGCAUGCCUGUUCGAGCGUCAUUUCAACCCUCAAGCCCUCGGGUUUGGUGUUGGGGAUCGGCGAGCCUUUCUGGCAAGCCGGCCCCGAAAUCUAGUGGCGGUCUCGCUGCAGCCUCCAUUGCGUAGUAGUAAAACCCUCGCAACUGGAACGCGGCGCGGCCAAGCCGUUAAACCCCCAACUUCUGAAUGUUGACCUCGGAUCAGGUAGGAAUACCCGCUGAACUUAAGCAUAUCAAUAAGCGGAGGA